CAUAACGACUCUCGGCAACGGAUAUCUCGGCUCUCGCAUCGAUGAAGAACGUAGCGAAAUGCGAUACUUGGUGUGAAUUGCAGAAUCCCGUGAACCAUCGAGUCUUUGAACGCAAGUUGCGCCCGAAGCCUCCUCGGCCGAGGGCACGCCUGCCUGGGCGUCACGCA
rnacentral:rRNA from 2 species